rnacentral:lncRNA from 1 species
UCCCAUUAAUGACCCAUUAAUGACCCCCACUGAUCCCAUUAAUGACCCCAUUAAUUUCCCCCAUUAAUGACCCUAUUAAUGUCCCCCAUUAACGACCCCAUGAAGGACCCCAUUAAUUUGCCCCAUUAAUGACCCUAUCAAUGACCCCAUUAAUUUCUCCAUUAACGACCCCAUUAACGACCCCAUUAACGACCCCAUUAAUGGCCCCAUUAAUGUCCCCCAUUAUCGACCCCAUUAAUGAUCCUAUUAAUUUCCCCCAUUAACGACCCCAUUAAUUUCCCCCAUUAACGACCCCAUUAAUGACCCUAUUAAUUUCCCCCAUUAAUGAACCCAUACAGACCCCAUUAACGAUCCCAAUAAUUUCCCCCAUUAAUUUCCCAUUAACUUCCCCCCCAUUAAUUUCCCAUUAAUUUCCCAUUAAUUGCCCCCAUUACUUUCCCACUAAUUUCCGCCAUUAUUUUCCCAUUAUUUUCCCAUUAUUUUCCCAUUAAUUUCCCCCAUUAAUUUCCCAUUAAUUCCCCCAUUAAUUCCCCCAUUAAUUUCCCAUUAAUUUCCUAUUAAUUUCCCCCAUUAGUUUCCCAUUAAUUUCCCCCAUUAAUUUCCCAUUAUUUUCCCAUUAUUUUCCCCCACUAAUUUCCCAUUAACGUCCCCCAUUAAUUUCCCAUUAAUUUCCCCCCAUUAAUUUCCCACUAAUUUCCUAUUAAUUUCCCAUUAAUUUCCUGUUAAUUCCCCCCAUUAAUUUCCCACUAAUUUCCCCCAUUAAUUUCCCAUUAAUUCCCUCCAUUAAUUCCCCCAUUAAUUUUCCAUUAAUCCCCUCAUUAACCCCCCAUGAACCCCCUCAUCAAUUAACCCCCCAUUAAUCCCCUCAUUAAUUAACCCCCAUUAACCCCCAUUAAUCCCCUCAUUAAUUAACUCCCCAUUAACCCCCUCAUUAAUUAACCCUCAUUAACCCCCAUUAAUCCCCUCAUUAAUUAACCCCCAUUAACCCCCCAUUAACCUCCAUUAACCCCCAUUA